rnacentral:lncRNA from 1 species
AGGGCAUCCUCUUCCCUUGACUACAGUGAUUGGCUCAGGGUUGCACAGGGGACUCGAACUGGUGCAGAUGGAGUCAACCCCAGGACAUUGGCAUGAGUGUUGGGAAAGAUGUGUCCUCCUUCUGCUUGGGUGACCACAAUGGGAGGCCUUCCCUGCCACCUCCAGGAAAAUGUCAGGCCAGAGUGAAGCUCACAGAGAGGCAAGAAAGGUCUGGGAAGAAGAGACCUGACCUGGCCUUGGGGUGCAGAAGUGGUGGCCACUGGUGGACACAGAGCUGCUCACUGCAAAUCCUGUCAUUUGAUUCAUCUUCCUGAGAAGACUACGACCUUGUGCAGGAUGCUGUGUUAAAGUCAUUCCUCACCUCCUGCAUUUCCACCUCUGCCUCUGUGGGUCGCGAGCCACUUCACUUCCAUUUUCCUGUCUGCAAAAUAGGUUGAAGUCUGCCAAGCAGGCUGGGAAAAGCAUCAUGGUGUCUCAGGAUGGGGCCCCCUGUCCCCAGUGCUCCAGAAGAAGUCAAUGUUAUUAUUCUGGGGCAGUCAUAUCCUGAUCAUUAAUUUAUGACAAUGUUAGAAACAACAACAAUUAUAAUAAUGACUGGUUUUUAUGGAGUCGUUCUUACUACUCUAGCAGGAAUAAUCAAUUUAUUAUGUCAUUAAACAUCCUAAUAGCUAUUUGAGGCAGAUUCUAUUACCAGCAUUUUUUAUCUUAAAAAUGAAGUAACAGACACAGAGAAGUGGAAUAACUUUCCCCAUGUCCUCCAGUUAGAAACUAAUCCAGGAGUCUGUCUUCCACACUGACUCCUUCUGCGCCAGGCUGUGCUUCCACCGAUGUGUCCUCAGUGCCAGGUGGGCAUGGCCCAUGGCUAGACUUGAAGGAUACAGCCAUGGUCCCUGACCUCAUGGAGGACGCAGUUUUUAACAUCCAGGCUUUAACACUCCGCAGACCACUUGAUUAGCACAUAGCACCCAUAUUGAGAUGAUCCGUUGACAGGCUUGUCUCCCUGGACCGGGCACCCCUCAAGGGAGAGGACCCUGCUUCAUCACCCCCGUAUAGCCCACUGUCUGGCAAGAAUAUUAAUGUUUCAUCUUUCCUGGGACUUUAUUCUGGAGUUAUAUUUUGCUGUGCUUGGUUCUGUUUGAUUGUUCCAACAUCAGGACCGUAUCGAUUUGCUUCCAGUGGCUCUGAAAUCACUUAAGACCAGUGGUCCCGCCCCUAGUUGAUUCCAUCUUGUUUUUUUUUUUUUUUGGCUGUCUUUUUUUUUUUGAGAUGGAGUUUCUGCUCUUGUUGCCCGUGCUGGAGUGCUUGGCAACUCGGCUCACUGUAACCUCUGCCUCCUGGGUUCAAGCGAUUCUCCCGCCUCAGCCUCCUGAGUAGCUGGGAUUACAGGUGUAUGCCACCACACCUCACUAAUUUUUGUAUUUUUAGUAGAGACGGGGUUUCAACAUGUUGGCCAAGCUGGUCUCGAACUCCUGACCUCAGGUGAUCUGCCCACCUCCACCUCCCAAAGUGCUGGGAUUACAGGCGUGAGCCACCGCACCUGGUCUCCUUGGCUGUUCUUAAACAUGGGCUCUUGCGUAAGAAUUUGAAGAUAAUUUUAACCUGGAGUCGGUCUGUGUAAAUUUAAACCCUGCCUCUACCUCUCACAACGUGGGCCAGUCACUCACCCCCUUGUGUCUCAGUUUCCUCAUCUGUAAGUGAUGGGUGGGAACAAUGACAGGUGAAUGGAGCUUCAAAGAAGUUGAGUGAUGUCAGGUGUGCUAAGGCAGUUGCAACAGUGCCCAGAGUGUGGUAAUCGCCCAAUCAAUGGUAGUUUCCUUUCUUCUUUUUUUUUUUGUAGAUGGACUCUCACUCUGUCACCCAGGCUGGAGUGCAGUGGCACGAUUUCAGCUCACUGCAACUUCUGCCUCCAGGGUUCAAGCGAUGUUCCUGACUCAGCCUCCUAAGUAGCUGGGACUACAGGCACAUGCCACCAUGCCAGGCUAAUUUUUGUAUUUUUAGUAGAGACAGGGUUUCACUAUGUUGGCCAGGCUGGUCUUGAACUCCUGACCUCAAGUGAUCCACCCACCUUGGCCUCCCAAAGUGCUGGGAUUACAGGCAUGAGCCACUGUGCCCGGCCUCAAUAAAUGGUAGCUAUUUAAUUAUCAUUAUUAUUGAAAUUUAUGUGAAAUAGGAAGUCUUCAGUCCUGCUUGCUC